ACAGCUGCUGGAAAAACAAUAGAGAACAAUGUGGAGGAAAGCAGUCGGGGUGGAGCAGGGCUUCUGAUCUCACUGCAGCUGGGUAACAGCAUGUGAAUUCGGGCAAGAGACAGACACCAAGAAUUAACAAUUCACAGAACCUGCUCUGAUGGACCAGCACUGAGAGGACCCACAGUCCUGCAGCAAACACAUCAUCAGACAGUUACAGGAAGAACAGGAGGACCUAUGGGUAUAAUCCUGCCUAUUACACUGACAGCCAGCCAUAUCCCAGCAGGCAGUCAGGGGUGUGGAAGGGAUACAAACUCACGGCUUGACUACUCCAAGAUCCUGACCAGGGAGGGAGAUCAUGACUGCCGAAGCUGAUUCUCUCAGAGAGAAGAGACUGCCUGUAUCAUUCCUAGAAGAUGAAUAGUAUGUAUCAUAUGACCUCACACUCACACUGAGGCGUUACCUCUCCAGCAAUUAAACCUCAGUUGUGCAUUUCUUGUGAACGAAAAA
rnacentral:lncRNA from 1 species